GUUAGGAAUAUUGGACAAUGGGCGCAAGCCUGAUCCAGCCAUGCGGCGUGAGUGAUGAAGGCCUUCGGGUUGUAAAGCUCUUUAGUCCACGAAUAUAAUGACUGUAGUGGAAGAAUAAGCCCCGGCUAACUUCGUGCCAGCAGCCGCGGUAAUACGAAGGGGGCGAGCGUUAUUCGGAAUCACUGGGCGUAAAGCGUGCGUAGGCUGUUUUGUAAGUCAGAAGUGAAAGCCCAGGGCUUAACCCUGGAAUUGCUUUUGAAACUACAAGACUCGAAUUCGGGAGAGGAUAGCGGAAUUGUCAGUGUAGCAGUGAAAUGCGUAGAUAUUGACAGGAACACCAGUGGCGCAAGCGGCUAUCUGGACCGAUAUUGACGCUGAGGCACGAAAGCGUGGGGAGCAAACAGGAUUAGAAACCCUAGUAGUCC
rnacentral:rRNA from 1 species